GGGUGGCCGAGGCUCAGCCCCACGCGACGGGGCUGUCGGCGCGCUCCGAUGGGGCGGAAGCAGCCGGCGACCGCCGCUUUCUGGCAGGUGGAUUUGCACUAAAACAUCAAAGAAAGAGAAGUACUUGAUUCCUUUGCUGUUCUACAGGUUGGGAAGAGGAGACAGAAAAGAGAUUCUGUCCCUCCUGUAUUUCUGCAAGUUGAAAGAACAAUACGUGGUCUUGAUCUUACUGCCAAGCUUGUUGCCUUUCUGAAGGAAACCCAGCUGUUGAUGUUGCCAAGAAAAUGACAAAGAUACAUGAAAAUUGCACAGAAUCUGGAGCACGGGUUUGCAACCUUGAUCACUAGUUAUCAAAUAAUUCCAGAGUUUUACCCAUGAACUGGCACUAUUAAGAUCUUCUUUAAGGCACAUCUAAAUGAAGAAAUUCCACCAAUGUGGCGGUAGAAGACUUACAUUUCUGAUUCUUGCUAGACUUAUCAAGUUCCAAAUCUAAAAGUGCUCCAAAAUAUCCUGCUGGUGCCACUGCAAAAAUUAAGCUCGAGUCUAAGCCCAUGCAAAGGAAUCUUCAUGACUGUACAUUGGCUUGGCUGGAGAAAUGGCAAAUGGCCCAAUUGUAAGUUUCUUGGCUACACCCAGACUUAUUAAACUUCAAAAAUAUAUAAAAUUGAGGAAUUUUUUUAUUCCCACUAUUUGGUAAGGUCUAAAUAAAGCCUUUGAAACUUCACUUACUCAUGCAAAUGUUUAAAAUGCAGCUGUUCAAACUGGAACGCGUACAUUCAUCAAAACAAGGUACAGAGCAAAUGGUAAAGAAGACAUUGUGGUGGAGGAUAGGGCAUACAUCAAUAGGAAAACAGUUAAGAUUUAAUUCAUACAUAUUUACUUGAACAUGUAUUUAAAGCCAAGUAUUUCCUCCCAUAUCUUUGAAUACAUAUUUGUGUCUUUCUGUUUAAUGAACUUUUCAGUCCUCUCACUUCCCCAUACUUUUAUACACAUUAUUUUUUUUGUGCUGCUUAUGAGCUUAUGUGCUGACUCCUUAUUUUUUCUCUGACUGUAUUCACAUCUGUAUUUUAUCAUUUUGUUUGUCUGGCUAGCUGCAAAGCAAUACUCUCCAAUCUUGCUAGUCUGUCAGCAGUGUGAAAAUACCAUGAAAUGUAAGCCACCAGCAAAUGUGUGAACUACUGGAACUACUGAAAGCUGCUGUUUGCUGAGUUGUGAACUACAGAGAGCAUAAAAGCAGCAAAAUUUUUUUGUUGUUAAUACUGUUGAUUCUUUCCUUUUUUUUUUUUUUGUUGUUUUUUUUUGUUCUUGCCAUGGAUUUUGUAGUGGGUAAGAUUUGCUUAAAAAUAACAGUGAAUUGCGUAAACACCUUGAUAUUAACAGUAGUUAAAUAUUGACUUCAAUUUCAAUAUUUUAAAAAUCAUGUUUCACAGAAUGUAUCUUUGUAUAUUGUUCCUGAUAUUUGGCAGAUCGCUCUUGGCAAAUGCUCCUGUUGUGCCUCAAUCACAUCAAUGCACAGAUUGCUGUGUUGCCAUAAAACUAAUUUCAUUUGCAAUUUCCACAUGGGGUGAGGAAAUUGCAAUUAAGUGACUGAGACACGAGUGUGUUUCAUUCUGCUGCAUCUGCAGUCAGGAUGAUUGUCUGUAUUGGAGUGACAGUACAGACACAUGGGUCAGUAUUAUUUGAAAUUUCUUCACCAAGAUUCAACAAGUCUGUUAAUCAAUGUUUAAAAUAUAACUAUAGAAUAACAUUAAUAUAUUAUACUUAAUGUUUAUUAUCUCUCUUCUGCUGCUCAGAGGACUAACUGGUGUUCAUCAGGGAUUGGUGAGCAAUUUCUUGUGCAUUACUUGUCAUAUACAUUCAUAGAUAUAUAUAUAUAUGGAUAGAUAGAUAUUUGUCAGCAAUUAUCCUUUUCCCUUUCUCUAUCUUAGUAAAUAGCUCUAUUUUCAAUUCUCUCCCCAUCUCCCUGGGAACACAGUGGAGCGAACAAACAACUGCGUGGUGCUGACUGCUGCUGGGUUAAACCACAGCACUCAUGACUGUGGUUCACAAGAUCUGUCAUGCACAGGUUAAAGGAAAUGGGAUAGCUUGCAGCAGCAGCAACACAAAACCCAAAUCUUAUCUUCAAUGAAUUUGUGAAAUGUUUUGCUGCUGACUUCACUGAGGUCAGAAGUGGACUGCCUAACUGGGAAACUUGUUUUUAACAGUCAUCUAGAUUUUCACCAUUAAAAACAGGGGAAGAUGUGUGCUUGGAGGAUCUACUCCUCAAACGAGAAAUGUAUCCUUACAACCUCCAAGAUUUCAUUCUGCAAUAUUAAGGGCCAAUGAACCCACUAGAUCCAUGGAUCAGGCAUGUAACAACUCUACAGUGACUGAAGUCUUGAAGAUCAAAUGGCUUUAGUUUUGCCUGUUUUCUAAUAUUUUAUAUAAAUAUUAGGAUUGCAUGCCACAUAAUUAUUAAAACGCUUCUAAUUUACUGAAUUUAAAGUCUCUACACUUCUUGUUUUUUCAGUUUUUAAUAAUGCAUUAUUCACUUUGCUUGUUAAGAGGACAAACCUGCUGCUCAGUUAUUGCUCUUCUGAUGCACAGAAACUUUUAUGUACACACAUUUUACAACUUUUGUAACCUGAAAACAAGGUUUCCAUCAUGCAAUAAGACCAUACUCUGUACUGAAAACUAGGUAGGAAUUUUCAGCAAGAUUGUGUUAAUGCUUAAUGAGGGCUCCUUGGAAUUGGUAGUUUGGUCAUACAUGCUCUAAGAGUACCAUAGCAAUGAAUUAAUGCCUUUAAUCAAAUGUCUGUAUUUCAGAAGUUUCUUCCACUCUUCCUUAAGGUCAUGGUUAGGUUGAUAAUGCUUUUCUGGAUCAAUAUGCUGACUUGCUGGCAUACAUAAGCAAGGCUGACCUUUUGCUAGCACAGCAUAUGUCACAUCUAUAUGCAUGUUAAACACUUAUGCUAUGUUUUGGCUAUAUAAAAGAAGUUUAUUGUAUCUGGCCAAAGAAGCCAGAAUACUUUUUCAAAUUACUUGUACUAUUAAAGACCUAUCAGUUACAUCUGCAGCUACUAACAAUCUUGUAUCUCUUAUUACCAGAUAUUCCUGUCAUUUUUGCCAGUGCAGAUGAGGAUGACCUGUUGGAUCAUUGUCUCACUUACUAUAGAUUAGAAAGGAUAUGGCUAAGAUAACUUCACAUAGGUGGCUUAAUUCUGAAUGUCUACAAAAGCUGAAAGGUCUUACUGUGAUCCUCUUUGUACAGUUGAAGCUCACUGAGUGUGCAGAAUCAGAUCUCAACAGAUCCACAGGCCUGGCUUCCUACUUCAUUUCAGACAAGACCAGUUAAUUACUUCAAGCAGCAGUUCUUUGCCAGCUGAUGAAAAGCUAACUAACUCAUAGCAGCCUCCAACAGAUGAGUACACGACAGCAGUUACCUCAGGUGCCAGAAGAGUCCCAGGUACAAAAAUAUACCUCACCUCAGUGACUAAGCUUCCCAGCUCUGUCCUCUCUUGUGAGUCCUUUGCACAAGGAGUCCUGCUGUUGGCACUGGACUUUCUCCCGAACUGAAACACGUACAGUAAAUAUCCCAGCCCAGAUGACUUUGCUCUUAAAUUGCUUAUAAGAGUGGAUGAACUUCGCAACUCCUAGUAUAUAAAGGCCUUCAAAUCUUGCUGUGGUAUGAUUGGUAUGAUCUAAAAAGGAAGUAUUUGGGACAGUUUUUAGCUUUAUCUGGGUCUUAGCUUUUGUUUGGAAGGACAGCAGCAUUUUUACUUAGUCAUAACUGAGAUCCUGAAUAAGAAAACAGAGCCAGCAUCCUUCACAGGAUCACAGAAUAGUUCAUCCUCUACCCUCAUCUAAAGUGAGACCUGAGCUUUAGCUUCACUUCCUUUUCUCUCUCUCCUCUCCAAAGUGUGGGACCAAAUAAUGGGGGCAUUGCCUUGCUGCUGAUCCCUAGCAGAUACUGAUACAGAUACAGCAGCCCUGAGGAAUGGCUGAAGCCUAGUUUUGAAAUCCUGGUGGCUGAAGGAGUAAGUGAACCACAAGGUUUAAUGUUUUGUAUUUUCUCUUCCCUGAAAACAUAAUUUCAGGCUACAGAGAGUUUUCUACCUAGCAAUCUCCUCUAGACAUCUGCUUGUGGUAUAGACAGUUGCAUUCCCAAAGAGGAAAGAAAUCUGAAAGUGAAGGAACCAUUUAUCUUCAGCCUAUGGCACACAUUUUUGAUAUGAGAUGAAAGACCAGGCCCGAGCUGAAUCUUAGUUUUAUUAUGAACCAAUAUAAUUUCCACAAAUUAAUAUACUUUGAAACAAACACAGUCUCUAAGAGUUGGUUUCCUUUAAAAGUAUUGCCAGCAUUUUCUUUGUUGUUCAUCUGCCAAGAGUUACAUUUGAGGCAAUCAGUGCUAGAUGGGCUAAGCAAGUCCAAAUUCUUCUCUACCUAGAGAGAUUUGUUGGCAUAACUACAUUAAUGUAGUGGUCUUCUUACAAUUCCUUAUUCUGGAAGAAAAGUGCACAGUAAUGCUGCUGGAUUACUGUAAAAUUUUUUGUCAGUCUCAUUCAGUAAGCAGAAAUUUUAAACAAAAUAUUAUUAAUAGCACUAAAACUACACACAUAAAUGCUGCUGUCAUUAGUCAAUCUGCAUAAAUCAAUCAGUCUAUAAAACAGGGAAAUUUUUGUUGAUGCAUUUUUUUUUCUUACUGUAAGAAAUUAAUUCUUUGAAACAACACAGUAAAAAAACUUAUCUGACGUAAGUGAAUAUGUGGGUAUGCAUGUAUGGAAAGUGCUCCAUACACAGAACAGUGUAACAGAAAAUAAAUCACUCAUCCUGAUCAUCUUUUUCGCUCAGUACUAAA